AGCGAACGCUGGCGGCAUGCUUAACACAUGCAAGUCGCACGAAGGUUUAGGCCUUAGUGGCGGACGGGUGAGUAACGCGUAGGAAUCUAUCCAUGGGUGGGGGAUAACACUGGGAAACUGGUGCUAAUACCGCAUGAUACCUGAGGGUCAAAGGCGCAAGUCGCCUGUGGAGGAGCCUGCGUUCGAUUAGCUAGUUGGUGGGGUAAAGGCCUACCAAGGCGAUGAUCGAUAGCUGGUUUGAGAGGAUGAUCAGCCACACUGGGACUGAGACACGGCCCAGACUCCUAUGGGAGGCAGCAGUGGGGAAUAUUGGACAAUGGGGGCAACCCUGAUCCAGCAAUGCCGCGUGUGUGAAGAAGGUCUUCGGAUUGUAAAGCACUUUCGACGGGGACGAUGAUGACGGUACCCGUAGAAGAAGCCCCGGCUAACUUCGUGCCAGCAGCCGCAGUAA
rnacentral:rRNA from 1 species